GACGAACGCUGGCGGCGUGCUUAACACAUGCAAGUCGAACGAAGUGGCGAACGGGUGAGUAACGCGUAAUCACCCUGCCCUUCAGAGGGGGACAACAGUUGGAAACGACUGCUAAUACCGCAUACUGAAGGAGGGGAUUGCGUCGGAUUCGCUAGUUGGAGGGGUAACGGCCCACCAAGGCGAUGAUAAGUAGCCGGUCGUGGCGGAGGAAGGGCCACAUUGGGACUGAUACACGGCCCAGACUCCUACGGGAGUCAGCAGUGGGGAAUCUUCCGCAAUGGACGAAAGUCUGACGAAGCAACUCCGCGUGAGUGAUGACGGCCUUCGGGUGUUAAAGCUCUGUUAAUCGGGACGCGGUACCGGAAUAGAAAGCCACGGCUAACUACGUGCCAGCAGCCGCGGUAAUUC
rnacentral:rRNA from 1 species